AGACUUUUUUAAUCUGUGCCGAGAUUUCGUCAGACACCAGGACAUCAGCACUGAUGAGAAUCCUAAGAUAAGUAAAUCG
rnacentral:pre_miRNA from 1 species